rnacentral:lncRNA from 1 species
UUUAAUUCAUUAUGUCAUUUCAUAUAAUCUCAUUUCAUUUCAUCUCAUAUUUUUGAUAUCAUUUUUCAUCUCAUUUCAUCUCAAUUCAUCUCAUCAUUUCAUCUCCUCAUCUCAUCAUUUCCUCCUUUCAUUACAACAUUUCAUCUCAUUUCUUCUCAUCUCAUUUCAAUUUCAUUAUUUCAUCUCAUUUCAUUAUUUCACCUAAUUUCAUUAUUUCAUCUCAUCUCAUCUCAGUUCAUCUGAUCUCAUUUCAUCUCAGCAUUUCAUCUCAUUUCAUCUCAAUUCAUCUCAUCAUUUCAUCUCCUCAUCUCAUCAUUUCCUCCUUUCAUUACAACAUUUCAUCUCAUUUCUUCUCAUCUCAUUUCAAUUUCAUUAUUUCAUCUCAUUUCAUUAUUUCACCUAAUUUCAUUAUUUCAUCUCAUCUCAUCUCAGUUCAUCUGAUCUCAUUUCAUCUCAGCAUUUCAUCAUCAUUUUUCAUCUCAUCAUUUU